rnacentral:tRNA from 1 species
CGGGGUGUAGUAUAGUGGUAGUACGUGCGCAUGGGGUGCGUAUAGUCCAGGUUCGAUUCCCGGCACCCCGA